AUACGUAGGGUCCGAGCGUUAUCCGGAAUCAUUGGGCGUAAAGAGCUCGUAGGCGGUUCAGCAAGUCGGCUGUGAAAGUUCGAGGCUCAACCUCGAAAUUGCAGUCGAUACUGCUGUGACUUGAAUUCGGUAGAGGAGAAUGGAAUUCCCGGUGUAGCGGUGAAAUGCGCAGAUAUCGGGAGGAACACCAGUAGCGAAGGCGGUUCUCUGGGCCGAUAUUGACGCUGAGGAGCGAAAGCGUGGGGAGCAAACAGGAUUAGAAACCCCAGUAGUCC
rnacentral:rRNA from 1 species